rnacentral:lncRNA from 1 species
GAAUGCUUGCAUUGUAUUGUGGAUGGCCUUUCAUAAGUUUCAUAAGUUGUGAUCCCAAACAAGGAAGAUUCUAUCGCCAUUUUAGACUGCUAAGAACCACGAUUUCAAGAGAUCAACCUAGGACAAGUGGAGGACAGAGAGAAAAGCAUACCCGCAGAGGGUUUUGAAGUGAGCUCAGUGAUACCAACUGAAGAAAAAGUAUACCAUCAUGGCUGAAGAAGCCGACGGUAAGUAUACACCUCAUUUCAUUGAUGUACCAGGCAAGUAUUUUGAAUGAUGGCUUAGAAGAAAGUCUAUCAGAUUGAUAUUUUAUCCAAUAUAACAAUAAAAAAAAUUCCUUCAUAUGAUCAGAUAUGUUAAAAAUAGCGUACAGUCACCUUGCGUAACCCACAGUAUAGCUAAGAACAUAUAUCGAUUGAUAUUUAGUGCAAUGACAAUAACAUAUUUGUUUGAUCCUGUAAAAUUACUUAUUUCAAAUCAGACCCAUACCUAAAACCCCACAAACAAUUCCAAGUACGUUUCUAAAUACGUUUUGAAAAAUUGUCCUGAGUGUUUUCAUAUUCCUGUAAUUAUCUAUUUUUCCUCAUCUAGAUUGACAGCCCGUGAGCAUUUAUAUUUGAAUUUAUUUUGGAUAUUCUUUAGAGGAAUGCAAAAAGGCUUGAUUUAUUUCUGUUCAAUAGAACAAUAGAAAAUAUCAAUAAAAAAAUCGAUAUAUUAAACACAACCUGCAGUAUCUUUAAUUAACCAACAG